rnacentral:rRNA from 1 species
GAUGAACGCUGGCGGCGUGCCUAAUACACGCAAGUCGAGCGAACAGAUGAGAAGCUUGCUUCUCUGAUGUUAGCGGCGGACGGGUGAGUAACACGUGGGUAACCUACCUAUAAGACUGGGAUAACUCCGGGAAACCGGGGCUAAUACCGGAUAAUAUUUUGAACCGCAUGGUUCAAUAGUGAAAGACGGUUUCGGCUGUCACUUAUAGAUGGACCCGCGCCGUAUUAGCUAGUUGGUAAGGUAACGGCUUACCAAGGCGACGAUACGUAGCCGACCUGAGAGGGUGAGCGGCCACACGAGAACUGAGACACGGUCCAGACUCCUACGGGAGGCAGCAGUAGGGAAUCUUCCGCAAUGGGCGAAAGCCUGACGGAGCAACGCCGCGUGAGUGAUGAAGGUCUUCGGAUCGUAAAACUCUGUUGUUAGGGAGGAACAAAUUUGUUAGUAACUGAACAAGUCUUGACGGUACCUAACCAGAAAGCCACGGCUAACUACGUGCCAGCCGCCGCAGUAA